UUAAGCGACUAAGCGUACACGGUGGAUGCCCUGGCAGUCAGAGGCGAUGAAGGACGUGCUAAUCUGCGAUAAGCGUCGGUAAGGUGAUAUGAACCGUUAUAACCGGCGAUUUCCGAAUGGGGAAACCCAGUGUGUUUCGACACACUAUCAUUAACUGAAUCCAUAGGUUAAUGAGGCGAACCGGGGGAACUGAAACAUCUAAGUACCCCGAGGAAAAGAAAUCAACCGAGAUUCCCCCAGUAGCGGCGAGCGAACGGGGAGGAGCCCAGAGCCUGAAUCAGUGUGUGUGUUAGUGGAAGCGUCUGGAAAGGCGCGCGAUACAGGGUGACAGCCCCGUACACAAAAAUGCACAUAUUGUGAGCUCGAUGAGUAGGGCGGGACACGUGGUAUCCUGUCUGAAUAUGGGGGGACCAUCCUCCAAGGCUAAAUACUCCUGACUGACCGAUAGUGAACCAGUACCGUGAGGGAAAGGCGAAAAGAACCCCGGCGAGGGGAGUGAAAAAGAACCUGAAACCGUGUACGUACAAGCAGUGGGAGCACAGAGCAAUCUGUGUGACUGCGUACCUUUUGUAUAAUGGGUCAGCGACUUAUAUUCUGUAGCAAGGUUAACCGAAUAGGGGAGCCGAAGGGAAACCGAGUCUUAACUGGGCGUUAAGUUGCAGGGUAUAGACCCGAAACCCGGUGAUCUAGCCAUGGGCAGGUUGAAGGUUGGGUAACACUAACUGGAGGACCGAACCGACUAAUGUUGAAAAAUUAGCGGAUGACUUGUGGCUGGGGGUGAAAGGCCAAUCAAACCGGGAGAUAGCUGGUUCUCCCCGAAAGCUAUUUAGGUAGCGCCUCGUGAAUUCAUCUCCGGGGGUAGAGCACUGUUUCGGCAAGGGGGUCAUCCCGACUUACCAACCCGAUGCAAACUGCGAAUACCGGAGAAUGUUAUCACGGGAGACACACGGCGGGUGCUAACGUCCGUCGUGAAGAGGGAAACAACCCAGACCGCCAGCUAAGGUCCCAAAGUCAUGGUUAAGUGGGAAACGAUGUGGGAAGGCCCAGACAGCCAGGAUGUUGGCUUAGAAGCAGCCAUCAUUUAAAGAAAGCGUAAUAGCUCACUGGUCGAGUCGGCCUGCGCGGAAGAUGUAACGGGGCUAAACCAUGCACCGAAGCUGCGGCAGCGACACUGUGUGUUGUUGGGUAGGGGAGCGUUCUGUAAGCCUGUGAAGGUGUACUGUGAGGUAUGCUGGAGGUAUCAGAAGUGCGAAUGCUGACAUAAGUAACGAUAAAGCGGGUGAAAAGCCCGCUCGCCGGAAGACCAAGGGUUCCUGUCCAACGUUAAUCGGGGCAGGGUGAGUCGACCCCUAAGGCGAGGCCGAAAGGCGUAGUCGAUGGGAAACAGGUUAAUAUUCCUGUACUUGGUGUUACUGCGAAGGGGGGACGGAGAAGGCUAUGUUGGCCGGGCGACGGUUGUCCCGGUUUAAGCGUGUAGGCUGGUUUUCCAGGCAAAUCCGGAAAAUCAAGGCUGAGGCGUGAUGACGAGGCACUACGGUGCUGAAGCAACAAAUGCCCUGCUUCCAGGAAAAGCCUCUAAGCAUCAGGUAACAUCAAAUCGUACCCCAAACCGACACAGGUGGUCAGGUAGAGAAUACCAAGGCGCUUGAGAGAACUCGGGUGAAGGAACUAGGCAAAAUGGUGCCGUAACUUCGGGAGAAGGCACGCUGAUAUGUAGGUGAAGUCCCUCGCGGAUGGAGCUGAAAUCAGUCGAAGAUACCAGCUGGCUGCAACUGUUUAUUAAAAACACAGCACUGUGCAAACACGAAAGUGGACGUAUACGGUGUGACGCCUGCCCGGUGCCGGAAGGUUAAUUGAUGGGGUCAGCGCAAGCGAAGCUCUUGAUCGAAGCCCCGGUAAACGGCGGCCGUAACUAUAACGGUCCUAAGGUAGCGAAAUUCCUUGUCGGGUAAGUUCCGACCUGCACGAAUGGCGUAAUGAUGGCCAGGCUGUCUCCACCCGAGACUCAGUGAAAUUGAACUCGCUGUGAAGAUGCAGUGUACCCGCGGCAAGACGGAAAGACCCCGUGAACCUUUACUAUAGCUUGACACUGAACAUUGAGCCUUGAUGUGUAGGAUAGGUGGGAGGCUUUGAAGUGUGGACGCCAGUCUGCAUGGAGCCGACCUUGAAAUACCACCCUUUAAUGUUUGAUGUUCUAACGUUGACCCGUAAUCCGGGUUGCGGACAGUGUCUGGUGGGUAGUUUGACUGGGGCGGUCUCCUCCUAAAGAGUAACGGAGGAGCACGAAGGUUGGCUAAUCCUGGUCGGACAUCAGGAGGUUAGUGCAAUGGCAUAAGCCAGCUUGACUGCGAGCGUGACGGCGCGAGCAGGUGCGAAAGCAGGUCAUAGUGAUCCGGUGGUUCUGAAUGGAAGGGCCAUCGCUCAACGGAUAAAAGGUACUCCGGGGAUAACAGGCUGAUACCGCCCAAGAGUUCAUAUCGACGGCGGUGUUUGGCACCUCGAUGUCGGCUCAUCACAUCCUGGGGCUGAAGUAGGUCCCAAGGGUAUGGCUGUUCGCCAUUUAAAGUGGUACGCGAGCUGGGUUUAGAACGUCGUGAGACAGUUCGGUCCCUAUCUGCCGUGGGCGCUGGAGAACUGAGGGGGGCUGCUCCUAGUACGAGAGGACCGGAGUGGACGCAUCACUGGUGUUCGGGUUGUCAUGCCAAUGGCACUGCCCGGUAGCUAAAUGCGGAAGAGAUAAGUGCUGAAAGCAUCUAAGCACGAAACUUGCCCCGAGAUGAGUUCUCCCUGACUCCUUGAGAGUCCUGAAGGAACGUUGAAGACGACGACGUUGAUAGGCCGGGUGUGUAAGCGCAGCGAUGCGUUGAGCUAACCGGUACUAAUGAACCGUGAGGCUUAACCUU
rnacentral:rRNA from 1 species